CAGCAGCCACGGUAACACGUAGGUGGCGAGCGUUGUCCGGAUUUAUUGGGCGUAAAGCGCGCGCAGGCGGAUAGGUCAGUCUGUCUUAAAAGUUCGGGGCUUAACCCCGUGAUGGGAUGGAAACUGCCAAUCUAGAGUAUCGGAGAGGAAGGUGGAAUUCCUAGUGUAGCGGUGAAAUGCGUAGAUAUUAGGAAGAACACCAGUGGCGAAGGCGACUUUCUGGACGAAAACUAACGCUGAGGCGCGAAAGCCAGGGGAGCGAACGGGAUUAGAUACCCGAGUAGUCCCUGUCUCUUAUACA
rnacentral:rRNA from 1 species